rnacentral:rRNA from 1 species
AGUGAACGCUGGCGGCAGGCCUAACACAUGCAAGUCGAACGGCAGCACAGUAAGAGCUUGCUCUUACGGGUGGCGAGUGGCGGACGGGUGAGGAAGACAUCGGAAUCUACUUUUUCGUGGGGGAUAACGUAGGGAAACUUACGCGAAGACCGCAUACGACCUACGGGUGAAAGCAGGGGAUCUUCGGACCUGGCGCGAGUGAAUGAGCCGAUGUCGGAUUAGCUAGUUGGCGGGGUAACGGCCGACCAAGGCGACGAUCCGUAGCUGGUCUGAGAGGAUGAUCAGCCACACUGUAACUGAGCCACGGUCCAGACUCCUACGCUAGGCCGCAGUGGGGAAUCUUGGACAAUGGGCGCGAGCCUGAUCCAGCCAUACCGCGUGGGUGCAGAAGGACUUCGGGUUGUAAAGCCCUUUUGUUGGGAAAGAAGAGCAGCAGGUUAAUCCCCCGCUGUUCUGACGGUACCCAAAGAAUAAGCACCGGCUAACUUCGUG